CCUUAGCACCAAGUGGUUGGAUUGUGAACCUAUCUUGUUGUUGUUGUCGUUGUUGUUUACGAGCCUCGUAUUUAGGUCCACUGCCGAGAUCAAGAUCACUUAAAUCGACUCAAACGUCUAUUUCCAAGGAAAUUUCAAGUCAGCUGUCAGUGUUGAUUGGGCAGAAAGGUAUAAUACUAGAAGAGGAAAAUUGAGCAAAACCAGUGUACCACUGAAGACUCCUUUUGUUUCUGCUGGGGUUUGGAGGCAUCUCCAGCAGGCACUUCCAAGAAAGAUUUCAGGCCAUUAAUCAGAAGCGCCUACGUGCAGGGGAAUCCAGUGGAGCAUAAAUCCUGCAGGCGGGCGUUCAAUUUCAGUGAGAGAGGUGACGGUCUACACCAGCCGCAGCACUGCUGAAUUUGGAGCCUGAAUCUAGUCCUGGCUUUGCUUACUACCUGAGUCAUCUCAGGCAAGUCCCUUCACUUUUCUGAGCCUCAAGUUUCCUCAUCUGUAAAAAGGAGGGGGCUGAGCUAGGUGACCGUUGAGGAUCUUUCCAAGCUUGAAAUUCAUGAUCCUGCCAUACUACUGAGUUGUUAUGGCAGCAUGAUGGAUUUCAACUGAUCCAUCCUCACACUUCCAUCAUGAAAGAGAACAAAUAAUUCUGGCCAUUCUAUCAUUAUGUUAUCCCUUCCUGAAAUGCAUAGGGCACCCCCUCUAGCCUCUCUCUUCCU